AGUUGUGGCUUCUUAAAGUUACCAAGCUUUCUUAUCAGCUGCGAUCACUAAAAUGUUGGCUCCCUGAAAGACUUCAGAUCAUAAAAUUGCAGAAUUGUAGAGCUGGAAGGGACAACAAGGAAAUGUAGUUCAACCCAGACGACCUUCCCUUG